ACAAAAAGAAAAAAGGAAGAAGAAGAAGAAUAUAAAACUAUACUAUAUAAAAAAUGAUAUUACAAAAAUCAUACUACAUUAUAAAAGUUAAUGUCGUUAAUAAGAAUAAAAUUAUCGUUUACUAUAGGAGCCGAAGGGAUUGCGAAGAAGAUUUAGGAAGGGCCGAUUGUCAUUAUUUCUUUUCAAAAUAAUUUCUUUCUUUUUAAUCGUUUUAAAAAGGGAUGAAAAAAAUUAAAAGGACAAAGAGCACGAUAAAGUAAAAUUUCAUAAUGCCCAUGUGUGCGUAUGUGUGUGGUGUUUCUUUUUUUCUUUUUUCCUUUUUUUUUUUUUUUAAGUAACAAAAAGGAGAAAAAAUGAAAAAAAGAAAAGAAAAAGAUGAAUUCUUCUUUCAGACACUCCUUAGAUUAAAACUCGAUAAGAUUUCAAUUUUUUUCCCCCUCUCUCUUCUUUUCUCUUCCCAUCUCCUCCUCCCUCUCCCUCUCUCUCUCUCCCUCUCUCUCUCUCUCUCUCUCUCUCUCUCGAGUCUUCUGGGGUAGACGGACGACCUUGCUCCGUAAAUGGAUCGCGGGGAACGGAUGGGCCGGCCAAGUGCCAUUAAACUGUUACUUAAAGGUUAAUGAGUAGGAUACGCGCUCGUCGUCGUCGUUAAAUCGUAUUUAUGGAAUUCUUUUUAAAGAGUAUACUUAUAUGUGUAUGUAUAUAUAUAUAUAUACAUGUAUAGGUAGAUUUUAUGUAGGUGUGCGAGAGUGUAAUAUACUUGUUUAAAAAAAAGUAAAGAGAAAAAGAGUGAACUGUGAAGAAAUAAAAGGGAAAGAAUAAAUAAAAAAAAAAAAUAAAUAAAUAAAUAAAUAAAAAAAGAAGGAUAAAAAGGUGGACUGCGUAUAGAUGAAAAUCGAUGCGAGAGUAUUAUAAGACAAGAGAUGGGGAUGAUGACCUCUUAAUAAUCUAUUAGUAAUUAUUUCAUUUCGAUCAGAAAAGGAUUUCGGAAUAUCGUGAGUUUAGCUUGAGAGAUUAGAGAAAGCCCGGCAUUGAUGUUAGUGGUGAUGGUAUAGUGAUAGUGGUGGUCUAGUAGUGUAAUUGUGUAGUGAUAGUAAUAGUAGUGGUAGUAGUGACAGUAGUAAUGGUGGUAGUAGUAGUGGUGGUAGUGUCUAGGAGAACGGUCGAUGCAAUUACGAUGGUACUAAUCUGUUACAUUGGCGUAACUAACGGAUAUAGUUAUCGUUCGGACGACGCACCGACGUACUUGAGAGCGAGAGAGAGAAUGAGAGGGAGAGAGAAAGGUUGCCUUGCGAAGAAGGAGGCGGGGCAUUACGAACGAACGAACGAACGAACGAACGAACGGACGGACGGACGAACAUCGCCGAAGUUUUACGACGGCUUACGACGGCUUACGACGCUUUCCGAAGAGGUCAAACGCACGACGACGACGACGACGCGAAAACGACCGAGGCAACGACCUUGACUCCUUUCGACUGACGUUCUUAGGACCUAGGCAGCCACGAAGAGAGCACUCUCCAACUUGUGUUGUACAUAUAUGUAUAUAUAUAUGUGUAAUAUAUAUAUAUAUAUAAUAUAUAUGCGAACACUACCGUUUCUUUUCUAUCGGCCAACCCAUCGAAUUUCACUUUUCGAUCGCAACGUCUCUUACUACAUGAUGGAGAUAAGAGUCAAUUAAACUUGGCAGUGAUUGGCAAAGACCGAGAGUUAAGAUCCUGGGUAUGAAUCAUUCGUAAAGCUCGUAACGGUAUUCGUGGACUCGCUGCAGAGAUCUUCGGGAGCAUGUUUCAAAGUUUUAAUUGGCUGAAAGGAUGCUGGCAAUAUGGCGGCGAUGGUACGGAUAGGUCCAUCUAAUUAUAACAGUUCGCGUGUGUAUAUGGCUCGGUGAAAGGCGUAUUAACUACGUGACUAAAAACUCUUCAACGUGUGCGCGUUGUAAUGCUAAAUAACUUCGACGAUGACGACGACGACGACGACGACGACGACGACGACGACGACGAAAACGACGAAAAUGACGAAAAUGACGACGACGAGAAGGAAAUCAAGUGUCUCUUUGAUUCUUCAACAACUAGACGUAACGUAAACGUAAAAAUAAAAUUUGCUCGCCAAUAUGGCGACCAACAUCGUAAACAGAACGAGUCACAUUACCGAGAAACAUUUAACACAAUACAAUCGACAUAAAUAUAGUUCGAGAGAGAUAAAGAAAGAGAGAGAAAGAGAGAGAUAUUGGGAGAGGGAGGAAGAGAGAAAGGGAGAGAUAGAGGUGGGAGAAAGAGUUUUAGACGCAAUAGUCUAUUUAAUAGCCUAAUAGACGUCUCUCCUUCGAUGUAAGAUCACGAACAAUGAGCGUAUUGCGUCUUCCUUACGCGAGGAAUAAACGAGCUCGCUGGAAAACAACCUUGUGGCUCUACUUUCUAUUGCGUCAGGAGAAGGUGAUGAAGGAAGAGAAGGAGAAGGAAGAGAAGGAGAAAUAGGAGGAGGAGGAGGAGGAGGAGGAGGAUGGAAUAGUGAUAGUGUGGAUUAGCGAUAGUAGUAGUACUAGUAAUAGUAAAUAGUAGUGAUUCCCGUGAUAAUGGUACGGGAAGAUAGUCUCACGUUUCGUUUCGACGUUCGUACAAAACGCGGCCCACGUUUUCUCCUCUCGACUUUGAAUUUCCGCGUGGACGGAAAUAUCGUUUAUGCUAAAUCCUACUUUAAUCUGGAUUGGAUAAAAAAGGAAAAAGAGAAAGAAAGAGAUAGAGAUAGAUGGAGAGAGAGAGAGAGAGAGAGAGAGAGAGAGAGAGAGAGAUACAGAAUACAGAAAUUACGAUUUCUAUUUCUUAGAAAGCUAUAGAAAAUAUCUGUAUCAUGUAAUCGUCUUCGAUUGUUUAAUAACUAAUAUGUAAUAUUUUAUUUUAUCGUCGCAUUAUUUAAUUCUUCAUAAUAUUCUUUUUCUCACUUUGCUUUUGUGUAUUUUUUUUCUUUUUUUGUCUUUUUUUCUUUUUUAUUUUGUUUCUUUUUUUUUUUUUGUUUUUUAUUUUUUUUUUUGUUUCAUUACUUUCACGACACGUAUUCUUUAUAAGAGGGAAAGAAAGGUAAGAAAGAAAAAUGAAAAAUAAAAGAAAAUAAAGAGAGAAGAAAAUAAAAAGAAAUAAAAGAAAUAAAAAAGGGAAAAAAGAAAUAUCGAACGAACGUCCUUCGUUCUUGUUUCUCAUUUUUCCUCCAAACUCCCUUUCGCCCCGUUCCGACCCAUCCCCCGAUCUCUUCUAUUCUCUUCUCUUCUCUUCUCUCUUUUUUUAUCCAACGUAUCCAUCCCGUUAUCAUUAGAUUUGCAGGAUAUGUAUAUAUAUAUAUACUUGCAUAUGUAUAUAUAUAUAUAUAUAUAUAUAUAUAUACAUAUGUAUAUUUUUUUGCAUUACUCGCCGUGACUCCGAAGGUAUUAAAAUAAUAGACAUUCCGUAACUAUGCAUAUGUAUAUAUGUUAUGUGUCUCUCUAGUGUGUAUUCGUGAAAGAGAGAGAGAGAGAGAGAGAGAGAGAGAGAGAGAGAGAGAAAGAUAUAAAUAAAGAUAGAGAGAUAGAAAUAGAGAAUUUUAAUUCAUGGUUGCGUUGAACGGGCCGCGAUAUCUAAUACGAAACUAUUACCAGUUUCUUCAAACGCAGAUGUACUUUUAUAGAUGAAUGGAUAGCAGCUACGAAAUUUUUUAAAGUUCGCCGUGAAUUGUCCUCCCACAUUCAGGUGAACCAGUUUCUCCCCCCCCCCCCCAGCAAUUCCACUAUUUCCAUAUCUCUCUCUCUCUCUCUCUCUCUCUAUUUCUAUUUCUAUCUCUAUCUCUUCUAUUUCUAUCUCUGUCUCUCUCUCUCUCUCUCUCUAUUUCUAUUUCUAUCUCUAUCUCAUUCUAUUUCUCUCUCCCUCUCUCUCUCUCUCUCCCUCCCUCCCUCUCUCCCCCCCCUCUCUCUCUCUCUCGUUGGUUUGUGUGUAUCCCGAACCACGUUUGGAGUUUUUCAUCAAAACGCCUUUCGCUGAACUACAGAGUAUCGCUUUUACGUGAACUCCGAUACCUUUUGAAACUCAUCCCUCUCGGUAUCCUGAAAAUUCAUUAGAAAUAAUACAAACGAUAGUCACCGAGAAUGUUACUAUAUACAUAUACAUAUAUACAUAUAAAUAUAUGUGUGCGCGUAUAUAUAUAUAUAUAUAUAUAUAUAGUUCUCUUAAGUUCAGGUAAAUCAAUGAAUAUAUCAAUCUAUGAAUAUUACUGUACAUAGUAUUUAUUGAUUAUAUUACAUUGAUUAUUUGUGGAUUAUAAAUUAAAUAAGAAUUGAAUAAUUAAUAAUUUUGUUAGGAGCAAUAAAAUAAAAAAGAGAGAGAGAGAGAGAGAGAGAGAGAGAGAAAAAGAAAGAAAGAGAAAUAAGCCACCUAUUAAUCUUCAUUGAAUAAAAUCUGAUUAUAAUUCUCUUUAUUAUUAUUAUUAUUAUUAUUAUUAUUAUUAUUAUUUUCUUUGUUCUUUUUAACUAACAAUAAAUAUAUCGUGGAAUUAAUCAUUUCGAUUGUAAUUAAUUAAUCCGAUUAAUUUUCUAUAAUUUCUUAUACAUUAAUACAUAUGUAAAUAAAGGAAACGUGAUGAAUCGUCUUAAUAGUUCCUAAUAUUAACGAUAUCAGUUAAAUAGAAUUCAGUCUUCUAAUUCCUUCACUUGAAACGAACGCCAAGGCCAAAGUGUUAAACUGACGCAACGUGUGUCACAAUAGAAUCACACACAUUCAAAUACAAACACACACAUACACGUACAUACUCACACAAACACGGACACACGUACGCACAUACACAUACACUUACAUACAGAAAGAGGGGAAUACGACGGAAUGAUAGACUUUUACACGUACUUACAUAUUUAUAUUAUGUAAAUAUGAUAUAAUAUGUAUUUACAUAUGUCUGCUAUAUAUACGACUGCACACACACACACACUCUCUCUCUCUCCCUCUCUCUUUCUUUGUCUCGUAAAUUUCAAAACGCAAAUAGAUAAUGUAAGGUUAAAGUGAACGAACU